AGUGAACGCUGGCGGUAGGCCUAACACAUGCAAGUCGAACGGCAGCACAGUAAGAGCUUGCUCUUACGGGUGGCGAGUGGCGGACGGGUGAGGAAUACAUCGGAAUCUACUUUUUCGUGGGGGAUAACGUAGGGAAACUUACGCUAAUACCGCAUACGACCUACGGGUGAAAGCAGGGGAUCUUCGGACCUUGCGCGAUUGAAUGAGCCGAUGUCGGAUUAGCUAGUUGGCGGGGUAAAGGCCCACCAAGGCGACGAUCCGUAGCUGGUCUGAGAGGAUGAGGGGCCACCCUGGAACUUAGACACGGUCCAGAGUCCUACGGGAGGCAGCAGUGGGGAAUAGGGGACAAUGGGCGCAAGCCUGAUCCAGCCAGCCCGCGUGGGUGGAGAAGGCUUUCGGGUUGUAAAGCCCUUUUGUUGUGAAAGAAAAGCAGCAGGUUAAUACCCCGCUGUGCUGACGGUACCCAAAGAAUAAGCACCGGCUAACUUCGUG
rnacentral:rRNA from 1 species